AUUGAACGCUGGCGGCAGGCUUAACACAUGCAAGUCGAGCGGAGAGAGGUAGCUUGCUACUGAUCUUAGCGGCGGACGGGUGAGUAAUGCCUAGGAAUCUGCCUAGUGGUGGGGGAUAACGUUCCGAAAGGAACGCUAAUACCGCAUACGUCCUACGGGAGAAAGCGGGGGAUCUUCGGACCUCGCGCCAUUAGAUGAGCCUAGGUCGGAUUAGCUAGUUGGUGAGGUAAAGGCUCACCAAGGCGACGAUCCGUAACUGGUCUGAGAGGAUGAUCAGUCACACUGGAACGGAGACACGGUCCAGACUCCUACGGGAGGCAGCAGUGGGGAAUAUUGGACAAUGGGCGAAAGCCUGAUCCAGCCAUGCCGCAUGUGUGAAGAAGGUCUUCGGAUUGUAAAGCACUUUAAGUUGGGAGGAAGGGUCGUUACCUAAUACGUGACGAUUUUGACGUUACCGACAGAAUAAGCACCGGCUAACUCUGUGCCAGCCGCCGCAGUAAGAC
rnacentral:rRNA from 1 species